AGACAAGAGGCGGUGCCAUGGAUGGACCGCUUGAAAACGUACUUCUACAUGUAACGUUACACAAAACAAACGUCGGCAGCAAUGUGACAGACUGUGCCCUCAUUGAGUGUUAUGAAGCAGGGAUAAAGAACAUGACAGACAAGAGGCGGUGCCAUGGAUGGACCGCUUGAAAACGUACUUCUACAUGUAACGUUACACAAAACAAACGUCGGCAGCAAUGUGACAGACUGUGCCCUCAUUGAGUGUUAUGAAGCAGGGAUAAAGA